UGUCUGAACAUGGGGGGACCAUCCUCCAAGGCUAAAUACUCCUUACCGACCGAUAGUGAACCAGUACCGUGAGGGAAAGGCGAAAAGAACCCCUGUGAGGGGAGUGAAAUAGAACCUGAAACCGUAUACGUACAAGCAGUAGGAGCAGACUUGUUCUGUGACUGCGUACCUUUUGUAUAAUGGGUCAGCGACUUACAUUCAGUGGCGAGGUUAACCGAAUAGGGAAGCCGUAGAGAAAUCGAGUCCGAAUAGGGCGUUCAGUCGCUGGGUGUAGACCCGAAACCAAGUGAUCUACUCAUGGCCAGGAUGAAGGUGCGGUAACACGCCCUGGAGGUCCGAACCCACUAAUGUUGAAAAAUUAGGGGAUGAGCUGUGGGUAGGGGUGAAAGGCUAAACAAACUUGGAAAUAGCUGGUUCUCUCCGA
rnacentral:rRNA from 1 species